rnacentral:rRNA from 1 species
UACGUAGGGAGCAAGCGUUGUCCGGAAUCAUUGGGCGUAAAGCGCGCGUAGGUGGCCCUGUAAGUCCGCUGUGAAAGUCAAAGGCUCAACCUUUGAAAGCCGGUGGAUACUGCAGGGCUAGAGUACGGAAGAGGCGAGUGGAAUUCCUGGUGUAGCGGUGAAAUGCGCAGAUAUCAGGAGGAACACCGGUGGCGAAGGCGGUUCUCUGGGAAUAUCCUGACGCUGAGGAGCGAAAGUGUGGGGAGCGAACAGG